UACGGAGGGUGCAAGCGUUGUCCGGAUUUAUUGGGUUUAAAGAGCGUGUAGGCGGCCAGGUAGGUCGGUUGUGAAAACUGGAGGCUCAACCUUCAGAGGUCGACCGAAACCAUCUGGCUAGAGUCCGGGAGAGGAGAGUGGAAUUCCUGGUGUAGCGGUGAAAUGCGCAGAUAUCAGGAAGAACACCCGUGGCGAAAGCGGCUCUCUGGAACGGUACUGACGCUGAGACGCGAAAGCGUGGGGAGCGAACAGG
rnacentral:rRNA from 1 species